CUCAGUUUGGUCAUAAACUGGUUUGGUGAACAAAGCUUGCUCAGGAGAUUUGCUCCGGGGAGCUGGAUCGUCGAAAACAGGAGCAGAAGCGUCUCGGUCUGAUGAAUGGGUACUACUCGGAGGCUUUGAAGUCUCUGAGGCUCCUUGAGGUGUGUAGACAUCACCACUGAGGAAGUCCAUAGCACCAGAUUCAACAUGUACUGGCCUCAUUGUAGGUGGUGGUGGAGGAAGAACAGGGUUGAAACUCACUCGUGCACUCUCUCUUUUUGACCUGCAGAGUUGAGUUUGAUGAAGUUUUGGGAUGCAAUUGAAAUGAGCAAAGGAUGGUCAUUAGCAUUUACCUGUGAGAUAGCUGAGAAAAAUCAUCAUCUGACUCAUCAUCUUCGUCAUGGUUGAUGCUAACAAGCGGUAUAGUAGGAGCUGUUGCAGGAACAGAUUUUCCCUUUGCCUUAUCAUCAUGUUGCUGAAGAACACGCUGCAGAUUGUCGUUCAAUGCCAAUCCUUGACACAGAAGUUCCUCAUCUCUGCAAAAAAGGAAGGAGACUCUCUCUCUCAACAUUAGCGAAUUCUAUCAAAUUUAGUAACGAACAGGAGGGUGAAGGAGAAAGCAAACGAAUCCUUACGAUGUAGUGUUGACCAGAGUCAUUACACGUCUCUGAUAAGUACGGCAUUGCUCUACCAAAUCAACUAUAAGCUCUUCCUUUAAACCCUGUCACAACAGAAACAGCAGUGAGUGUUUCAAAUCAAAUCAAACAACAGAGACACCAUGUCUAAUCAUGUAAUAAUAUCUUACCUCAGGAUGGCUUGGAUCAAGAGCCCCAAGCAUGUCCGUCAAAAUAUCAACUGAUCCCUGAGCACUUUGAAUCUCUUCCAAACUAGAAAAAACAAAUACACUUAAAAGUCUACAACAAGCUUGAGACAACACCGUUCAGCGAUGGGGUUUCCGGAAUCAAGAUUCAGAUACGUGGGAACGCCAGCUUCGCUUGAGUCCAAAGAAGGCGCUCUGAAAGGGGAGGCUAUGGUUAGAGCUCAGUUUCAAGAAGAUCCAUACGGAUGCGUUGGUUCGCUUUGGCGUAAGAAGCUGAAGCGUGACCCUUUCCACAGGACUAUACCUUACCCUAAUGGAUGCCCUGAGAUUAGAGGAUUGUUCAGGUACUGUGGUUCAGCUCCUUUUCCUGGCUCUCUCCCAUGGGACUCAUCUGGGUCAAUCCUAUAACUAGACUUUGCUUAGAGGAACAGAUACUUGGUCAAGAGCUUUUUUUUUUUUUGUUUACUUUCAUUAAUGUAAAAGAGAAACUUCACAAUCUUUGUAUUGAGAGAGAACUUUAAACUGUAUUAAAAUGCUAUUUACCUGGAAUAUAUUACAAGAUCUCUAUAUUUAUAUAAAAACAAGCUUUUCAUCCUCCAUGUUCAUCAAUCAAAGGAAACAAGAACACAAAUGAAGAAGAAGUAAAAAGAAUGGUAAGAGAGUAAUUAUUACUAAUGCAACAACUGGAGGUUCUGUCUCAAAACGGUUUUGUUGUUCUAAUUGUUUGGUUUGGAGGAAGAAGACGAUGACUUCCUGUUUUUCGCAAAGUCAACCAAGUCUUUGAAAAGGAUAUCCUCUGGUUUGUCAUCUUUCUUUGGCGGUGUAGCAGCAGCAGUAGCAGAGCCGGUUGGAUUCAGAGAAAGAUUCCGGGAUUGUCCCACGAGAUCCUCAUAAGAGGAAUCAGAGCCACUGCUUGUGCGUUGAGGAACAUUAUUAUGCUGGGAGUAUUGUUGCCUCUGGCUGAUUCUAACGGACAUUGGUGGUGGAAAAGCCCUGGUUCCUUCAGGAUCCCAUGGAGCACGAGGCAACUGCUCAGUUUGGUCAUAAACUGGUUUGGUGAACAAAGCUUGCUCAGGAGAUUUGCUCCGGGGAGCUGGAUCGUCGAAAACAGGAGCAGAAGCGUCUCGGUCUGAUGAAUGGGUACUACUCGGAGGCUUUGAAGUCUCUGAGGCUCCUUGAGGUGUGUAGACAUCACCACUGAGGAAGUCCAUAGCACCAGAUUCAACAUGUACUGGCCUCAUUGUAGGUGGUGGUGGAGGAAGAACAGGGUUGAAACUCACUCGUGCACUCUCUCUUUUUGACCUGCAGAGUUGAGUUUGAUGAAGUUUUGGGAUGCAAUUGAAAUGAGCAAAGGAUGGUCAUUAGCAUUUACCUGUGAGAUAGC
rnacentral:lncRNA from 1 species